AUAUAAUUCUUCUUUGUAUUCCUCUUGACCAUCGAAUGGAAAAAUUUAGUACAUAUGUCACUGCUUUUCAAGUAGGAACACUUGGCUUUCUGAAAAUAGAAGUUCCUCUCUGCUUCACAUAGAUGCAUAGCUUCCUUUCUCAAUUGUUGCACCUUAUAUUGAAGUUGAGAGUCAUGUAACUCGAGUUGAGCUACUUUCAGGUUCCUUUUUGCUGCCUCAACCCUAUUAGAAAUGUGCCCAAAGUGUUUCUCAUUUAGCUUUCUCAAGGCCCCUUUGAGAUGAUGUAAUUUCUUGCAAAGAAUGAAGUGUUUAGUGCCCAAAACCGCAUGAUUCCAGUCUAUUUGAACAACAUCCCGAAAAUCAUCAUGGUUUGUCCACAUGUUGAAUACUCUGAAUGACUUUCUUCUGCUCCCAUCGUGUUCAACCAUCAAAACGAUAUAAGGUGAAUGGUCCAAGAGGCAGCCUGAAGGUUGAAAAUCAGCUAGGCAAUGGAGUCCUACUUGUACCCAAGUAUCAUUUACCAUAGUCCUAUCUAUCUUGCUCCAAAUUGAAGAAUUAGUCCAAGUGAAUAAUAGCCAAUGGAUCUAACGUCCGUGAGGCCAACACUAAGGCAACAACUUUCAAAGUCCCUACCUUCAUAUGGAGUAACUUGAGCACCGUUGCUCCUCUCAUCAUUUUUAAGCACAUUAUUAAAGUCCCUGACUAACAUCCAUGGUAAAUCAUGGUUUAAGCCAAAUUCCUUAAUGUUGUACCAAAGGGGUCUUCGGGUAACAAUAGAAUGAAAAGCAUAAAUAAGCUAACAUGGAAGAUAUAAGAAGUUACCUUGCAUUUAGCCAAACAACGAAUAACUUGUGGUGAGGUCUCUAGUCCUUCUAGUUCAACUUUCAAAGGAUUCCAUAAGAUCAAAAUACGCCCGGCCUGAUGAGUAAGGAAGUUGUUCACUUGCAACAAUCCGUUGAAUUUAUUCCGCAUAAUAC
rnacentral:lncRNA from 1 species